rnacentral:rRNA from 1 species
GAUGAACGCUGGCGGCGUGCCUAAUACAUGCAAGUCGAGCGAACUUUUGGGAGCUUGCUCCCAAAAGUUAGCGGCGGACGGGUGAGUAACACGUGGGUAACCUGCCUGUAAGACUGGGAGAACUUCGGGAAACCGGAGCUAAUACCGGAUAACAUUGAAGACCACAUGGCCUGCAAUCAAAAGGUGGCUUUUAGCUACCACUUAAAGAUGGACCCGCGGCGCAUUAGCUAGGUGGGGAGGUAACGGCUCACCAAGGCGACGAUGCGUAGCCGACCUGAGAGGGUGAUCGGCCACACGGGGACUGAGACACGGCCCAGACUCCUACGGGAGGCAGCAGUAGGGAACCUUCCGCAAUAGACGAAAGUCUGACUGAGCCACGCCGCGUGAGCGAAGAAGGCCUUCGGGUCGUAAAGCUCUGUUGUUAGGGAAGAGCGAGGAUCGUUCGAAUAGGGCGGUACCUUGACGGUACCUAACCAGAAAGCCACGGCUAACUACGUG